rfam:Glycine soja cultivar W05 scaffold3316_7, whole genome shotgun sequence.
UUCUUAUUAGAUGAUGACUGUCACAUGUCAUGUUCUAAUUGGUCAAUGAAAAUAAUAAUGCAUUUUAUCCUUUAUGGAGUUGAUAUCCAAUCAGAACAUGAUCCAGUUAUUAUCCAAUAAGAACGUGACACGUGUCAGUCAAGAUCA